ACAACGGAUAUAGAGGACAGUGGCGGACGGGUGAGUAACGCGUGAGGAACCUGCCUUUCAGAGGGGGACAACAGUUGGAAACGACUGCUAAUACCGCAUGACACAUAGGUGUCGCAUGGCACUUAUGUCAAAGAUUUAUCGCUGAUAGAUGGCCUUGCGUCUGAUUAGUUAGUUGGUGGGGUAACGGCCCACCAAGGCGACGAUCAGUAGCCGGUCUGAGAGGGUGAUCGGCCACAUUGGAACUGAGAGACGGUCCAAACUCC
rnacentral:rRNA from 1 species